AGCAGCCGCGGUAAUUCCAGCUCCAAUAGCGUAUAUUAAAGUUGUUGCAGUUAAAAAGCUCGUAGUUGAAUUUCGGGAUCAAUUAAUUGGUCGUGCCUCUGGUACGUACUGAUUUUAUUGGUUUCUCCCUUCUGACGAACCAUGAUGUCAUUAAUUUGGUGUCGUGGAGAAUCAGGACUGUUACUUUGAAAAAAUUAGAGUGUUUAAAGCAAGCUAACGCUUGAAUACAUUAGCAUGGAAUAAUGAAAUAGGACGUUUGAUUCUAUUUUGUUGGUUUCUAGGAUCGACGUAAUGAUUAAUAGGGAUAGUUGGGGGCAUUAGUAUUCAAUUGUCAGAGGUGAAAUUCUUGGAUUUAUUGAAGACUGACUACUGCGAAAGCAUUUGCCAAGGAUGUUUUCAUUAAUCAAGAACGAAAGUUAGGGGAUCGAAGACGAUCAGAUACCGUCGUAGUCUUAACCAUAAACUAUGCCGACUAGGGAUCGGAUGAUGUUAAUUUUUUAAUGACUCAUUCGGCGCCUUACG
rnacentral:rRNA from 1 species